AGAGUUUGAUCCUGGCUCAGGACGAACGCUGGCGGUGUGCUUCACACAUGCAAGUCGAACGGGGUAGCAAUACCCAGUGGCGGACGGGUGAGUAACACGUGGGAAUCUGCCUUGAGAUGGGGGAUAGCAGACCGAAAGGUCUAUUAAUACCGCAUAUGUGUAUGUCUCGACAGGGGCAUACAUGAAAGGAGCAAUCCGUCUUAAGAUGAGCCCGCGUCCGAUUAGCUAGUUGGUAGGGUAAUGGCCUACCAAGGCGACGAUCGGUAGGUGGUCUGAGAGGAUGAUCACCCACAAUGGGACUGAGACACGGCCCAUACUCCUACGGGAGGCAGCAGUGGGGAAUUUUGUGCAAUGGGCGAAAGCCUGACACAGCGACACCGCGUGAGCGAAGAAGCCCUUUGGGGUGUAAAGCUCUGUCAGCUGGAACGAAACAAAUGACGGUACCAGCAGAGGAAGCAUCGGCUAACUACGUGCCAGCAGCCGCGGUAAGACGUAGGAUGCGAGCGUUGUCCGGAUUUAUUGGGCGUAAAGAGUUCGUAGGUGGUUUGUUAAGUUCGAUGUUAAAGAUCGAGGCUCAACCUCGGGAGUGCAUUGAAUACUGGCAGACUUGAGUGCGGUAGAGGCUAGUGGAAUUCCCAGUGUAGCGGUGAAAUGCGUAGA
rnacentral:rRNA from 1 species